rnacentral:tRNA from 1 species
CCUGGUAGCUCAGACUGUAAAGAAUCUGCCUGCAAAGCAGGAGAUCUGGGUUCAAUCCCUGUGUUGGGA